rnacentral:rRNA from 1 species
UCAAGCAACUAAGAGCAUUUGGUGGAUGCCUUGGCGUCAAGAGGCGAUGAAGGACGUAAUACUUUGCGAUAAGCUUCGGGGAGGCGAGAAUGGCCUGUAAUCCGAAGAUCUCCGAAUGGGGAAACCCACGCUUUUAAGCGUAUUCCAUGCUGAAUACAUAGGUAUGGAAAGCGAACCUGGGGAACUGAAACAUCUAAGUACCCAGAGGAAAGGAAAUCAACCGAGACUCCGUUAGUAGUGGCGAGCGAACGCGGAUUAGCCCAGUGAUUUUACUGCAUAAACCGGAACGGUCUGGAAAGGCCGGUCAUAGAGGGUGAUAACCCCGUACGGGCAGAUAUGCGGCAAAAUUCUUGAGUAGGGCGGGACACGAGAAAUCCUGCUUGAACAUGGGGGGACCAUCCUCCAAGGCUAAGUACUACUUGACGACCGAUAGUGCACGAGUACUGUGAAGGAAAGGCGAAAAGAACCCCGAGAGGGGAGUGAAAUAGAACCUGAAACCGAAUGCUUACAAACAGUCGGAGCGGCUUUAUGCCGUGACGGCGUACCUUUUGUAUAAUGAGUCAGCGAGUUAGUGUUGUAUGCAAGCUUAAACCGUUAGGUGUAGGCGUAGCGAAAGCGAGUCUUAACAGGGCGUUAUGAGUAUGCAGCAUUAGACCCGAAACCCGGCGAUCUAGCCAUGGCCAGGCCGAAGAUAGGGUAACACCUAUUGAAGGGCCGAACCCGUUUCUGUUGCAAUAGAAUGGGAUGAGCUGUGGCUAGGGGUGAAAGGCCAAUCAAGCCGGGAGAUAGCUGGUUCUCCGCGAAAGCUAUUUAGGUAGCGCGUCGGACGAUUUCCAUCGGGGGUAGAGCACUGGAUAGGCUAGGGGGACGCGAGUCUUACCAAACUUAACCAAACUCCGAAUACCGAUGAGAACAGUCCGGCAGGCAGACUGUGGGCGCUAAGGUCCAUGGUCGAAAGGGAAAAAGCCCAGAUCAUCGUCUAAGGUCCCCAAAUCACAGCUAAGUGUAAAAGGAUGUGGGAAGGCCAAAACAGCCAGGAGGUUGGCUUAGAAGCAGCCAUCCUUUAAAGAAAGCGUAACAGCUCACUGGUCUAAUUAAGCAGUCCUGCGCCGACAAUUCAUCGGGGCUCAAGCUGUGUACCGAAGACAUGGGCUUGCAGCAAUGCAAGCGGUAGCGGAGCGUUCCGUAAGCCUGCGAAGAUGUGGCGUGAGCCAUGUUGGAGGCAUCGGAAGCGAGGAUGCUGACAUGAGUAGCGACAAAGGGGGCGAGAAACCCCCUCACCGAAAACCCAAGGGUUCCUGUUUUAAGUUAAUCUGAGCAGGGUUAGUCGGAGCCUAAGGCGAGGGCGAAAGCCGUAGUCGAUGGUAAUGCGGUUAAUAUUCCGCAACCCGGUGGAAGUGACGGUUCGCAAUUUUUGUUCGUGCUUAACGGAUUGCACGGGCGGGAUGCGCGGAUCCAGGAAAUAACUCCACCAUAAGGUCCGUACCCCAAACCGACACAGGUGGGUAGGUAGAGCAUACCAAGGUGCUUGAAAGAACUGUAUUGAAGGAACUAGGCAAAAUACCUCUGUAACUUCGGGAUAAAGAGGCCUCGUCCGAGGGCAACCUCAGGCGAGGGGCACAAAAGAGAGGGUGGCGACUGUUUAGCAAAAACACAGGACUCUGCUAAGCUGAUGAAGCGAUGUAUAGGGUCUGACGCCUGCCCGGUGCCGGAAGGUUAAGAGGAGGUGUGCAAGCACUGAAUUGAAGCCCCGGUAAACGGCGGCCGUAACUAUAACGGUCCUAAGGUAGCGAAAUUCCUUGUCGGGUAAGUUCCGACCUGCACGAAUGGCGUAACGAUCGCCCUGCUGUCUCCAAUGCAGAUUCAGCGAAAUUGAACUCCGAGUGAAGAUGCUCGGUACCCGCAGCUAGACGGAAAGACCCCAUGAACCUUUACUAUAACUUUGCAGUGGUGUUAGGAUAUGAAUGCGUAGCAUAGGCGGGACGCUUUGAAGCGGUUGUUUCGGCAAUCGUGGAGCGGACGUUGAAAUACCGCCCUUUUAUGUUCUGGCAUCUAACUGCCGGAGUAAUCCUCUGGCAGGACCCUGCAUGGCGGGUAGUUUGACUGGGGCAGUCGCCUCCUAAAAAGUAACAGAGGCGUGCGAAGGUAGGCUCAAUCUGGUCGGAAAUCAGAUGUAGAGUGCAAUGGCAAAAGCCUGCCUGACUGCGAGACUGACAAGUCGAGCAGAGACGAAAGUCGGUCAUAGUGAUCCGGUGGUUCCGUAUGGAAGGGCCAUCGCUCAACGGAUAAAAGGUACUCUGGGGAUAACAGGCUGAUCUUCUCCAAGAGUUCACAUCGACGAGAAGGUUUGGCACCUCGAUGUCGACUCAUCGUGUCCUGGGGCUGGAGCAGGUCCCAAGGGUUCGGCUGUUCGCCGAUUAAAACGGUACGUGAGUUGGGUUCAAAACGUCGUGAGACAGUUUGGUCCCUAUCUACUGUGGGUGUUAGAUACUUGAGAAGAGCUGUCCCUAGUACGAGAGGACCGGGAUGGACGCGCCUCCGGUGCGCCAGUUGUCAUGCCAAUGGCACAGCUGGGUAGCUAAGCGCGGACGGGAUAACCGCUGAAUGCAUCUAAGCGGGAAGCCUCCUUCAAAACAAGGUAUCUCCAUUAGAGCCCUGGCAGACGACCAGGUUGAUAGGCUGGAUGUGGAAGCGCGGCGACGCGUGAAGCUAACCAGUACUAAUAGCUCGAUUGGCUUGAG